AGCAGGAGCUGAGGCUUCAGGAAGUGGAGCUUCUACAGUCAGGAAACCAUCAACGGAGAGCGAGGACUCAAAUGUACGUCGUUUAUUCUGUGAAGUGCAGGGAAAGUAUUUUUAGAAGACUCUUCUCCUUGCUCAGAUGAAGAUGUGAGAUAAGAUUAUUAAUGCUAUCUCGGGAUUUAAACUCUGCCUUGAAUCCAUCCCUGACACUGACGGAGAUCUCCGAGGGGGAAAAGUGAGACAAAUCCAUGCUGACCCUCCACUUGCUAACCUUCUGACCGGAAUGAGGCAUCGGCUCGGAGAUGUAGGGC